AGCUCCAAUAGCGUAUAUCAAAGUUGUUGUGGUUAAUCAGCUCGUAGUUGGAUUCUUGCCGAGGACGAGUGGCACGCCCUGCACGUGAGCAUCUGGGACGACCUGAACAUCUUCUUGGAGAACAAGUCUGCACUUGACGGUGUGGUGCGCUAUCCAGGAUCUCUACGUUGAGGAACUUAGAGUGCUUCAAGCAGGCCCACGCCUUGAAUACAUUAGCUUGGAAUCAUGAGAUAUGACCUUGUUUCUCGGUUGUUGGUUUCUAGAGCCGAGAUAAUGAUUAUCAGGGAUAGUUGAGGGCGUUCGUGUUUAGCUGUGAGAGGUGUAAUUCUUGGAUUUGUUAAAGACGGACUACUGCGAACACAUGUGCCAAGGAUGAUU
rnacentral:rRNA from 1 species